rnacentral:rRNA from 1 species
UACGUAGGGGGCAAGCGUUGUCCGGAUUUAUUGGGCGUAAAGAGCGUGUAGGCGGCCAGACAGGUCAGCUGUGAAAACUCGAGGCUCAACCUCGAGACGUCGGUUGAAACCGUCUGGCUAGAGUCCGGAAGAGGAGAGUGGAAUUCCCGGUGUAGCGGUGAAAUGCGCAGAUAUCGGGAAGAACACCCGUGGCGAAGGCGGCUCUCUGGGACGGUACUGACGCUGAGACGCGAAAGCGUGGGGAGCGAGCAGG